GCGAAAGUAGCUCAGUUGGUAGAGCGUCAGCCUUCCAAGCUGAAUGUCGCGGGUUCGACCCCCGUCUUUCGCU
rfam:Chryseobacterium molle strain DSM 18016 genome assembly, contig: Ga0131196_102